rnacentral:rRNA from 1 species
GAUCCUGGCUCAGGACGAACGCUGGCGGCGUGCUUAACACAUGCAAGUCGAACGAGAAUCUGCUGAAGGAGGAUUCGUCCAACGGAAGUAGGGGAAAGUGGCGGACGGGUGAGUAACGCGUGAGGAACCUGCCUUGAAGAGGGGGACAACAGUUGGAAACGACUGCUAAUACCGCAUGAAGCAUAGGGGUCGCAUGAUCUUUAUGCCAAAGAUUUAUCGCUUCAAGAUGGCCUCGCGU